CUCCAAACCAUGCAAAAAGGACCUAACAAAUGAUGCCCUUCUAGAAGAGUGAAGACCUCCUGGCAAUGUUUUCUUUAACCCAUGAGGUGCUGCAGCAGUUCACCAGAGCACGGAAGUGGCACAUCCGGGACUGAGAACUGGCAAGGCCAGAGGGCAGAAGCAAGUCACACAAGCCAGUGGCCCAAAAUCACGUCAUCUACCUCCGUUGCACUGAGCUAAAACCAUGCCCAGGAACUGGCGUCCCAAAUCUAAACAGUGAGGCUUGAGAAGCGGGCUGGAUUCCACGGUGCGCAAGUGUGCAGAGGACAUAAGCCGAGAAGAGGCCCUUGGAGAGGACAGAAAUAACAACAUCGUAGGCAGACAGUUGUGGGUUCUGCCAGUCACGCUUUCGCACAAGUCACAGCACUCAGCCUCAGUAAGCAGAGGAAAAUAACAGAAAACAAAGUUGGAAAGCAUGGCUGAGGAGAGGGAGAUAAACCGAGAUAAAUCGUGAAGAGUGGUUGAAAUAAGCUACCGACAGGCUUGACCCGCAGCAGGUGCCUGAUUCUGCUGGUUCCCAGUCCAGCCCCAGCUCAGGUGCACAAGGCGUCCGGGGGACUGCCAGCACUGCACAGCCCUUUCCAUACCUCCUGGAUGGUGACCUUUACCUCCGUUCCACCGUGGCCACCCAUACCCUGGGCCUUUGUCAUCUCUCGAAGGUUCCAACUGCACUCUGAAAUCCCACUCCCUGACUGCAGCUUCCAAAGCUGCCAGGAAACUGCCAGCUUCCAGGCCAGCCACUCAACAGCCUCCAAGACUCACUUUCCUCAUCUAUAAAAUGGGGUUUCUAAUAUCUGCUUUGCCCAGCACACAGAGCUGCUGGGAGAAUCAAAUAUGAUUAUGUAUAUGAAGAUACUUCACGAAUGAUGACAUUCUAGUAAGCUAGCAAAUAGUUGUCCCAGCCAUACCCACU
rnacentral:lncRNA from 1 species